rnacentral:rRNA from 1 species
GGGGACUAGGACACAGGUGCUGCAUGGCUGUCGUCAACUCGUGUCGUGAGAUGUUGGGUUAAGUCCCGCAACGAGCGCAACCCUCGCCAUUAGUUGCCAUCAUUUAGUUGGGAACUCUAAUGGGACUGCCGGUGCUAAGCCGGAGGAAGGUGGGGAUGACGUCAAGUCCUCAUGGCCCUUACAGGGUGGGCUACACACGUGCUACAAUGGCGACCACAGAGGGUUAAUCCUUAAAAGUCGUCUCAGUUCGGAUUGUCCUCUGCAACUCGAGGGCAUGAAGUUGGAAUCGCUAGUAAUCGCGGAUCAGCAUGCCGCGGUGAAUACGUUCCCGGGCCUUGUACACACCGCCCGUCACACCAUGGGAGUUGGUUCUACCCGAAGGCGCUGCGCUGACCGCAAGGAGGCAGGCGACCACGGUAGGGUCAGCGACUGGGGUGAAGUCGUAACAAGGUAGCCGUAGGGGAACCUGCGGCUGG